CAGGUGAUGGAACCCUCUCAAGGUUGGCAAGGACUUGUUGAAGGCCCGGGCGUAUGCUUGAACAACCUACAUCUGCAGGCAAUUGGCUGUUCUUUCUUUCACAAAAAGGGAAUGUACUUUUCUGAGUUUGCUCUUGAUCAAUUUGUUGACAAACUUGUGUCUUAGAUAGAUCUUUUGAUCACUGUGUGACUGUGUUGGCACUUCAUCAUAUCUUUCUCAAUCAUGUCUUUCCAAAACUGCUAUGAGCUAAUUUGUCUCUGACCAGAUCGAAAACCUUCCAAAAACUCUUGAUGUGACAGCUGCUCUCUGUGAUUGUGUAUGCAUGACUCAUGUUUCUAGAUUCUGCUGGGGUUUAUAUCAGUAAGGUGUUGAAUUGCCAUUCUGUAUAGUUCUGGAUUGAAGAUGAACUGUUUCUGUGUAUUAUAAGAUAGUCAGAGCAAGAUGUUAUUGCCUAAUCAUAUAGUUGAAAUAUUCACACUUGCUAUAGAAAGGCAAUUCUCCAUAGAGGAAACAGGGAA
rnacentral:sRNA from 2 species